rnacentral:lncRNA from 1 species
ACUGAAUGGAUAAUUUUUUUAACAAAGUUUGAACAAAUGUCACACAUUAAAAACACUUCUGAAAGUGUGAACACCAUAAAGAUUCAGAGAAUGAUUAUAAAAGAGACAAGUAACGAUUUGGGAUUAAUAUCUCCCAUUUUUACAUGAACUGCACCAUGCAUACCAAACAAAAAUAUUGUGCCUCAGAAUUCACACUUUGUUUUACUGUUUUAAAUUUUUAACACAAAUAAAAUCUCUAAGAGGGCACAUAAAGUAACAGAUUUAAAUAACUCAGGUUCUGAUUCUUCACCUUCAAGUCACUAAACUAUCAUUUAUUUCAUAUCUACCAUUUAAAUA